ACAUUCACCACCGCGUGACGCGGCGCCGGGUCGCCGCCGCAGAUUCGACACAAAACCCGGAAGGACCCCGCCGAAGGUUUUCUCCGGUUCGGGAGAGAGACGGAGUCCCGCUCUGUCACGCAGGCUGCCAGGCUGGCGUACAGUGGCGCAAUCUCAGCUCGCUGCAACCUCCACCUCCUGGGUUCAAGCGAUUUUCUUGCCUCUGCCUCCUGAGUAGCUGGGAUUACUGGCACACACCACCAUGCACAGUUCCUUGUUCAAAAUGCCAAGAACCUGGAUGACUCAUAGUCAAGACCCUCCACCAGUAACAUAUAUUGGCGAGCCAGCCAGGAGCUUGGAACCCUCGGUGGACAGUGCCUAAGCACAGAGGCAACCACAGGUUUCUAACAGGGCCACUCUCUGGUGAAACUGAAAGGUUUCUGUGUGAAAGUGCCUGACCACCACUGCCCAAUUCAGACCACUACAGGAAACACUCCAUUUAUUCCACCUGACUUCCCACUUGGCUGCAUCCUCAACCAUUGAAAUGAAUUUGACCCUGAUAAUCUAAGGAGGAAACAUUUGAUAUUCUUUUGCAAUAAUACUUGGCCCCAGUAUUGUUUGGAAUCUGGAGUUUGCUGUUGAAUGGGAAAGCAGGAUGACGUUGCAUGUAUCCAGGCUUUGGUGCUGCUGUCCUAAGAAGGGUCAGGCCUAGUCAGCAUAUGGUGCUCUCCUUUGGUGCUAUUUGGCUCCAGUGUCUUUGGAGUCUGAGGAGGUUUGGCCUUUAAAAAUCAAACUGCCACCGGAACUGCUUUAAAAAUGUUUGGUUCACAGCCUUCACUGGAUUACCUAUUGGAGCAAACAAAGUGUAACCAUGUAAAACCUGUGAGCUUGUAUUGAUAUCUCAUGGCUAGAGUUCCAAGCGAAUGGGUCUCAUGAGAUCUGAUGGUUUUGAAAAUGGGAGUUGCCCUGCACAAGCUCUCCUUUUGCCUGCUGCCAUCCACAUAAGAUGUGAUUUGCUCUUCCUUGCCUUCCACCAUGAUUGUGAGGCCUUCCCAGCAUGUGGAAAUGGUCCAGCCUGCAAUAACUGAAGCCCCCAGACCUGGAACCUGAAGAUCCCAUCAGCCACUAAACCUGUGAACCUGUAGAAGACCUGAAGUACCUGUUUAAAAGGCAGCCAAAAGAUAAGUAAAUUCCUAUCAACUUUCCUUGGUGUCCUUCUUGUAUAUUUACUGUAAGCUGGAUAUAAUAGUAGCCAUUUUUAUAUUUUUACAAUUUAAUUGCUUUCUUCCAAAUGGAUUGAAUCACUUCUUUUAAAGUGUUUUAAUUAAUUUUUAUCUAUAGAACAAAAUAACAAAUAAGUAUUUUUUUUUUAUACCAUAAUGGUCACCCACAGCCUGUGUAUACUAAGACCAUGCAUACUGAUAAUCAGCUUUAUUUUACAAAAGAGUUUCGCUUUACCCCUCUGGUAAUUAAUGGAUUCUGGGUAUUUAUUAAAAACUUUAACACAAAGACUGUUAAAUACCACCAGUCCAGCUUUGGCAAGGCACUGUUGGCUUUGUUUAUCUCCAUCAUCAUCCAAACAGACUACCAAUCCUGAUCCCAGCCCAAUCUUGGGCCCUUGAAAAAAUAACUUAACAUCCUAACUACAAGGGAGAAACUCCUUUCAAAUUAAUGAACCUGGCUGACUUAUAUAGCCUUAAAAUUAUGGAAAUGACAAGGGUUACAAUGUCAGAAUGAGCAGUAAACCUUCCCCAGUCCUAUCAGAGCAAACUUUCUGGGGUUGCAUCCCCUCAGAAACCCAUUUGGGGCCCAAUCUCAAUGCACAUAUCAGUGCGCAAAGCACUAAAAUUCCAGGCAACACUUUGUAUUGAGAGAAGCCAAAAUUUUGGUCCCGCCCUGGGACAUCUAAAGUCACCAAUGUAACUACACCAUACAGAUUAAACCCUCACAUGAUCAUGUAAGCUAUGCAGUUACCCAAGCUGCAUCAUUUAGAAAACCUGUACAGUUUUUAUGGAAACCAUCCCUAGUCAAGGACACUUUAAAUAUAUAGUCUAAAUACCGUUAAGGUAGGCCCACUAGCUGUGUUCACAUUUUCCCUUGGCCACCUUACCAGGGACUUUAAUAACUUGGGAAAGUGAAAACAACAAGCUAACCCACAUGUUCACCAUAGAAAACAAUUUUGUCUUGAAAAACAAGGACUCUUUUUCCCGUGUGGGACCAGUUCCUACUUAUGUUUUACCAGCCAAUUGGACUGGAACCUAUACAGUUGUUUAUUUAGCCCCCGAAAUUAAUAUAGCUCCCAACAACCAAUCCUUCAUUAUACUUUUAACUGCAACCACCAGACACAAAUGAGCCAUCCAACUGAUACCACUUUCGGUAGAGCUAGGAAUAACAGCAGGAGUAGGAAUGAGAGUUAGCAGCCUUGCAGUUUCCCUAUCCUAUUACCAAUGCUUGUCCAAGGAUUUUAUGGAAAGCUUAGGUGACAUUGCCCAAAAGUAUCAUCACCUUACAAAAUCAGAUAGAGUCUUUGGCAGUGGUGGCUUUGUAAAAUAGAAGGGGACUGGAUCUCCUAAAUGCUGAAGAAGGUGGCUUAUGUCUUUUUCCUAGAGGAAGAAUGCUGUUUUUAUGUCAACCAAACAGGAUUAGUAAGGGAUGCCACCCAAAAACUAGCCGAUUGGUACCAUAAGAUAUGACAACAGCUGUCUGAGUCAUGGGGCGCCUAGUCAAAAUGCUAAUUUGGGGCUCACAUCUCCUUCCUCUGGCCAGUCCACUAUUAAUUAUUAUACUUGCCUUGGCUUUUGGAUCAUGUUUGUUAAAUCUUUUAACCAGAUUUAUUUCUUCUUGCCUAGAGACCAUUAUGAUAAUGCAGCAGGGCCACCAGUCAGUUUCAGAUAAUGAUGUCAACCCCGGCCACCAAGAAGUAACCUUGUCUCCACUAGACAGAGCAGGGUGAGAGUUCUGUAAUCCCCAGUAGGUAGGGACUGUGCCCCAAGUCAGCAUGAAGUAGUUAUGGAAGAAAGACCAUGGGUCCCUCUGCCUCCCAGAAAGAUUUAUGGGGAUCACAUCUCUCAGGGGAAAAUGAGGCAGGAGAAUAGGGUCUGGAGACAGGGAACCUAAAGCUGAUUUGUGCUGAGUUUCUAGGAUUGAAUGAAAAGGAAAACCCCACCUCUCCACACCCAAGUAACAAAAGGAUCAGAGGCUACUCCCUUUGCACUGCAUUGCAGAUAAAAAAUGGAAAGUACCUCAGAUUGGUCCCCUCCCACAACCAAUCAGACUGGCCAUGGGCUACUCCUUCGUUUACAUAGGGUGUAACCAAGUAACCAAUGGGAAACCUCUAGCGGGUAUGUAAACCCCAGAAAAUUCUGUAACCAGUGCUCUUGAGCUGCUUGCUGGAGCCUACUCCCACUUUGUGAAGUGUACUUUCAUUUCAAUAAAUUUGUGCUUUCAUUGCUUCAUUCCUUCGUUGCUUUGUGUGUUUUGUCCAAUUCUUUGUUCAAAACACCAAGAACCUGGAUGACUCAUAGUCAAGAUCCUCUACCAGUAACACUUGAACUUUCUGGUUUGUCCUGAACAUCCCUCUUUCUUAAACAACCAGUCGUUUUAUUCUAGGCCAAAAUUUUACCAUACAAGAAUAUUUCUCAUAUACAAUUAUCUUCCUUCUAACUUUUCUUGCCAGAAAUACCUUUUAUAACUUUCUUUACAUUGCUUUUAUUUAACGAUUACUUUUACCUUGUUUCAUAAGUUUUAAAUAGCCUUGAAUUAGAUAAAAAAUUAUUUUCCUUUAAAUAAGAACACAUUUCUUUUUUUAGAAAAAUAUUUUUCUGUAAUUUUUUUUUUUUCUUGAGACAGAGUCUUGCUCUGUCACCCAGGCUGGAGUGCAGUGGCACAAUCUUGGCUCACUGCAAGUUCUGCCUCCCGGGUUCACGCCAUCCUCCUGCCUCAGCCUCCAGGGUAGCUGGGACUAGAGGUGCACACCACCACGCCUGGCUAAUUUUUUGUAUUUUUAGUAGAGACGGGGUUUCACUGUGUUAGCCAGGAUGAUCUCGAUCUCCUGACUAUGAUCUGUCUGCCUCAGCCUCCCAAAGUGCUGGGAUUACAGGUGUGAGCCACUGCACCUGGCCUAAUAUUUUAAAUUGGAAAUGACCCAGAUGUUUAAUGAGUACCUAUUAUUUAACUUAAUAUAAUUUUAGAUUCUAAAUUAUAUAACAAGUUUAAUCACAAGCAUUUAUUCCAUUACAUUUACCUAAUUAAUUUUUUUAAUAGUUU
rnacentral:lncRNA from 1 species